AGGAAGCCAUUUGCAGAAGAAGAAAGAAACGAAGAAGAAAGAGAGAAAGAGAGAAAGGGGAAAGCUAAAAAAAAAGGAAAGAAAGAAAAUAUAUAUGUACAAAAUGAGAGAGGUAAGAGUUUAAUUUUUUUAGCUCCGAUUUGGGUAUUUUCUAGAGGGGAAAGGUUUGAUCUUUUGGAGCUGGUAGAGGAAGUGAGAGCUCGAGUUGUUUGGGUAGUAGUGAGGAGAUCCGGUUUUGGCAAACAAAAGAGAGAAUUGGGUUUUGGUGCUAACCGGUAAAAAGGGAAAUCCAAUCGGGAGGCCGGUUAGCAAGGGAAAAAAGAAAAGAAAAUUUUAAGGUUAAAAGAAAGGGAGAGGAAGUCGACUGUAGAGAGAGAGAGAGAGAGAAAGAGAGAGCUGGUGAGAGAGUAUAAAAAAAAACAAAGAGGAGAGAGUGGGCAUAGCCCAAUGAGAAAAGAAUGGGCAUGGCCCAAUAGGAAGAAACGGGAAGAGCCCAUGGAAAAGGCCCAAUGGCAACAAAGAAAGAAAAGUUCAAAAGGGAAUAAAGGUGGAGACUUGGGCUUGAGCCAACCUAGCCCAAACAGAUUCAAGGGUGGUUGGGACGUAGAUUGAGGUGCCCAUGUACGCCCAUCUUUCGGAUAUUUGAUAAGAAAGGUGCAUUUGAGUUGAAAUCGCAAAACUAUGGUAAAGGCUUCAUUCGUACAUGUGGCAGUUUUCCAAGGAUAACUUAAGACACAAAAGUUCAAUUGAUAAGAUUAUUAAUCCAUUGGAAAGAUAAAAGAACAGGCUACAACCUUUAUGUUUACCACUCCAUCUAGUUCAGAUUUGAUCAAGGUGAAAAUUGAGUUGGAAGACAAUGGACAGUUGUAGUUUUGCACAGCAUGUUGAUUGGAGGCCACGGCUCUGAGUUAUUCAUGGCCGCGAUACUGAGGGAGCUAAGGCCACAGCAUUGGGAAGAUCGUGGCAGUAGCACUAGACAGUUUAGAUGCACCAUAUUUUGGCCCGAGACCAGAGCCCUGCGACACCACCAAUGACAGCCACAAUGUCGCGAUGCCACACUAGUUUCCAAAAAUAAAAUGUUUGACGGUAAAUUCGAAAUUAAGGCACCUUGCACAUAUUUAAGGGACUUUUAUAUAGGAGAGAAGGGGGCAGCAGCUAUUCUGAAGAUUUGGAGCCAAGAAUAAAGUAAGAAAGCAAGAGAAUUGAAGAAAGAUUCAAGAUCAAAAGCUUCAAUUAUU